rnacentral:rRNA from 1 species
AGCGAACGCUGGCGGCAGGCUUAACACAUGCAAGUCGAGCGGGCAUAGCAAUAUGUCAGCGGCAGACGGGUGAGUAACGCGUGGGAACGUACCUUUUGGUUCGGAACAACUGAGGGAAACUUCAGCUAAUACCGGAUAAGCCCUUACGGGGAAAGAUUUAUCGCCGAAAGAUCGGCCCGCGUCUGAUUAGCUAGUUGGUGAGGUAAUGGCUCACCAAGGCGACGAUCAGUAGCUGGUCUGAGAGGAUGAUCAGCCACAUUGGGACUGAGACACGGCCCAAACUCCUACGGGAGGCAGCAGUGGGGAAUAUUGGACAAUGGGCGCAAGCCUGAUCCAGCCAUGCCGCGUGAGCGAUGAAGGCCCUAGGGUUGUAAAGCUCUUUUGUGCGGGAAGAUAAUGACGGUACCGCAAGAAUAAGCCCCGGCUAACUUCGUG